GAUGAACGCUGGCGGCGUGCCUAAUACAUGCAAGUCGAGCGAACGGACGAGAAGCUUGCUUCUCUGAUGUUAGCGGCGGACGGGUGAGUAACACGUGGAUAACCUACCUAUAAGACUGGGAUAACUACGGGAAACCGGAGCUAAUACCGGAUAAUAUUUUGAACCGCAUGGUUCAAAAGUGAAAGACGGUCUUGCUGUCACUUAUAGAUGGAUCCGCGCUGCAUUAGCUAGUUGGUAAGGUAACGGCUUACCAAGGCAACGAUGCAUAGCCGACCUGAGAGGGUGAUCGGCCACACUGGAACUGAGACACGGUCCAGACUCCUACGGGAGGCAGCAGUAGGGAAUCUUCCGCAAUGGGCGAAAGCCUGACGGAGCAACGCCGCGUGAGUGAUGAAGGUCUUCGGAUCGUAAAACUCUGUUAUUAGGGAAGAACAUAUGUGUAAGUAACUGUGCACAUCUUGACGGUACCUAAUCAGAAAGCCACGGCUAACUACGUG
rnacentral:rRNA from 1 species